CUUUCUUUACUGGGCGUAACGGAUAAAAAUCGACGGAAGCACUGCUUCUGAAACAGAGGACGCUGCACUUCGUUCGAGUAUUAAAAAUAAUUUCGAUAUAAUAUUAUUUUAAUAUAAAUAUUUUAUCCACAUUAAAAGUAAUUUGAUAUUAAUAAGAUUAUCUAAUAGUCUAUAGUUCGCUUUUGCUUCCCGGAACUUGGCUAAACGGGGCACCUAAGACAUCUGACAGCGUUGCUGCAUGUCCUUCGAUCUGCUACCAAGCAAUGCACAGAAUACGUUAUGGUCCAUUCCUUUAUUGCAGUAUUUUGCAUUAAUUUACUGAUAUGGGCAGCAAGACAGUAUGGUGACGCCUGCAGUAUAAUACGAAAACCGUAUUCAGCUGCAACCACAUCUGGAGUUACAUUGUCCGAUGACGCAGACCUGGACCGUAAGUUGCAGAGCGGAAUAAUUUUUAAGUGGAUGAUAUUAUUCAGCAGUCGCUGGGCAGCCGUGAAGAUGAUAAAAUCACUCUAAAAUUUCCUCAUCGAAAGGAUAAGAAAAUCGACCAUAAACGUCCUUCCAAGAGCCAGCUAGUGUAUCGACCACGAAUUGGCGAAAAUGUACUAGUAACGUGUGAAGCACCCACAGAAAGCGCUCAAGCCAUAUCCUGGACACAUCAUGGCAUAGCAGUAUUUGGCGAAGGAAAACGCCUUGUGGAUGACGGAACCAACAAUCAAUUCUAUAAUAUCUCUUACCGGGGUCGAAUCUCAGUUUUUGGCGUACUGAACGUGUCCCUGCAAUCCGAAGGUGAGGUCACGUGUGUAGAAGAAUCGAGCCACCUCGGCUACAAGAGCAUAGUCCCCAUUAAACGUUUCCGCAUACUGCCUAAGGCUACUCUUGCCCGUGAAAUUUUCGCGAAACCCAUGGAAAACUUGUCAGUCAGGGAAGGCGAGAACUUAAUUAUCACUUGCAGUAUCCGACUACCUCUUCCACAACACACAGUCAAUAAUUUUCACAACUCCAUAAUUUGGCGACUGAACGAUGAUACACAUUGGGCACCUUACGAAGAACCUUACUGGACGUAUUACCUGCGCAAAUUUCCAAGCCAGUCGGCUUUACCAAACCAUACUAUUGACAAAAAUAUCACUAACACUCAUGGAUCUACAAUUGAUUACGGAAUGCUCUUUCGUUUUUUACAACAGGAAGACAGCGGUGUCAUCGAGUGCUGGUUCAGGCCCGAUUUAACCAAUCAUGAGUGGAUCGUGCAGUCAGCUCAAAUAAGUGUACAUCCCCGAAAGAAAAACACUAUAUUCUCCUAGAAUACUCUUUUAAGUUGCAUCAAAAGUGGAGAUCAACAUGAACUUUCUGAAAUGCGUAUUUCACCCAAGAGGCUUUUACGCUACCUUAGUUGUAUGUACUAUGUACAUUCAGUUCCGUUAACUGAAGUUCAAAGGUCAUGUGAUAAUAAACUGUUAAUAAACAUUUCUUUAUCUCUGGUUUCCGCGUUUCUGCUUCCUAACAUAAUACAUAAGGAAAGCAACACACUUUGGCAAAAUUGUAUUUUUGCAAACGCCCUCUGGGAAACUGUUUGUAAAGCUGGAAAGCAUGCACGGCGAAACAAUAAAA